rnacentral:tRNA from 1 species
GCCUUCGUGGUGUAGUGGUUAGCACACUCAGUUCGUAGGACUCGGAGAGAGGUCCUGGGUUCGAGUCCCGGCGAGGGUA